rnacentral:rRNA from 1 species
UACGUAGGGUGCGAGCGUUGUCCGGAAUUAUUGGGCGUAAAGAGCUUGUAGGCGGUUUGUCGCGUCUGCUGUGAAAUCUCAGGGCUUAACCCUGAGCUUGCAGUGGGUACGGGCAGACUAGAGUGCGGUAGGGGAGACUGGAAUUCCUGGUGUAGCGGUGAAAUGCGCAGAUAUCAGGAGGAACACCGGUGGCGAAGGCGGGUCUCUGGGCCGUAACUGACGCUGAGGAGCGAAAGCAUGGGGAGCGAACAGG